rnacentral:sRNA from 1 species
UAAGUAAUAUUACCCAAAGAAACUGGCC